rnacentral:rRNA from 1 species
GACGAACGCUGGCGGCGUGCUUAACACAUGCAAGUCGAACGCUGAAGCUCAGCUUUUGUUGGGUGGAUGGGUGGCGAACGGGUGAGUAACACGUGAGUAACCUGCCCCCUUCUUUGGGAUAACGCCCGGAGACGGGUGCUAAUACUGGAUAUUCACUGGUCUUCGCAUGGGGGUUGGUGGAAAGGGUUUUUCUGGUGGGGGAUGGGCUCGCGGCCUAUCAGCUUGUUGGUGGGGUGAUGGCCCACCAAGGCUUUGACGGGUAGCCGGCCUGAGAGGGUGACCGGUCACAUUGGGACUGAGAUACGGCCCAGACUCCUACGGGAGGCAGCAGUGGGGAAUAUUGCACAAUGGGCGCAAGCCUGAUGCAGCGACGCCGCGUGAGGGAUGGAGGCCUUCGGGUUGUGAACCUCUUUCGCUCAUGGUCAAGCCGCAACAAUAGUUGUGGUGAGGGUAGUGGGUAAAGAAGCGCCGGCUAACUACGUG